AUUGAACGCUGGCGGCAGGCCUAACACAUGCAAGUCGAACGAGUGGCGGACGGGUGAGUAAUGUCUGGGAAACUGCCCGAUGGAGGGGGAUAACUACUGGAAACGGUAGCUAAUACCGCAUACCAUCGGAUGUGCCCAGAUGGGAUUAGCUAGUAGGUGGGGUAACGGCUCACCUAGGCGACGAUCCCGAGCUGGUCUGAGAGGAUGACCAGCCGGACUGGAACGGAGAAACGGUCCAGACUCCUACGGGAGGCAGCACUGGGGAAUAUUGCACAAUGGGGGCAAGCGUGAUGCAGCCAUGCCGCGUGUAUGAAGAAGGCGUUCGCGUUGUAAAGUACUUUCAUCGAGGAGGCGUUACUCGCAGAAGAAGCGCCGGCUAACUCCGUGCCAGCAGCCGCGGUAAUAC
rnacentral:rRNA from 1 species